ensembl:ncRNA M04D5.5 ncRNA
GUGGUUAGAUAACUUAAAGGUUCCCAUUAACUGUUUUGCCCCCAGGAAGCAGUUCCCAGUUGAUGGGGCCGUACACUCCCCACCACACUGAGAGCAUGACUUUUUUGGGGUGAAGGUCGGGUUUGGCGGCACCCUGUGGGGUUUCUCCU